rnacentral:rRNA from 1 species
UUCUGAUUGAUCCUGGCUGAGGUUACUGCUAUCGGUGUUCGCCUAAGCCAUGCGAGUCAUAUGUAGCAAUACAUGGCGUACUGCUCAGUAACACGUGGAUAACCUGCCCUUGGGACCGGCAUAACCCCGGGAAACUGGGGAUAAUUCCGGAUAACGCAUAUUUGCUGGAAUGCUUUAUGCGUCAAAAGGAUUCGUCUGCCCAAGGAUGGGUCUGCGGCCUAUCAGGUAGUAGUGGGUGUAAUGUACCUACUAGCCAGCGACGGGUACGGGUUGUGAGAGCAAGAGCCCGGAGAUGGAUUCUGAGACAUGAAUCCAGGCCCUACGGGGCGCAGCAGGCGCGAAAACUUUACAAUGCGGGAAACCGUGAUAAGGGGACACCGAGUGCCAGCAUCAUAUGCUGGCUGUCCGGAUGUGUAAAAUACAUCCGUUAGCAAGGGCCGGGCAAGACCGGUGCCAGCCGCCGCGGUAACACCGGCGGCCCGAGUGGUGAUCGUGAUUAUUGGGUCUAAAGGGUCCGUAGCCGGUUUGGUCAGUCCUCCGGGAAAUCUGAUAGCUUAACUAUUAGGCUUUCGGGGGAUACUGCCAGACUUGGAACCGGGAGAGGUAAGAGGUACUACAGGGGUAGGAGUGAAAUCUUGUAAUCCCUGUGGGACCACCUGUGGCGAAGGCGUCUUACCAGAACGGGUUCGACGGUGAGGGACGAAAGCUGGGGGCACGAACCGGAUUAGAUACCCGGGUAGUCCCAGCCGUAAACGAUGCUCGCUAGGUGUCAGGCAUGGCGCGACCGUGUCUGGUGCCGCAGGGAAGCCGUGAAGCGAGCCACCUGGGAAGUACGGCCGCAAGGCUGAAACUUAAAGGAAUUGGCGGGGGAGCACAACAACGGGUGGAGCCUGCGGUUUAAUUGGACUCAACGCCGGACAACUCACCGGGGGCGACAGCAAUAUGUAGGCCAAGCUGAAGACUUUGCCUGAAUCGCUGAGAGGAGGUGCAUGGCCGUCGCCAGUUCGUACUGUGAAGCAUCCUGUUAAGUCAGGCAACGAGCGAGACCCAAAU